CGCACAGUGAGCGAGAAAGGCUGGUUUGUGACUGUGUCAACCACUGACCCAUCAAGAAUCACAACAUGAGGAACUCACCUCCCCCAAGAUAUGCUUCAUUCGUUUGCUGGACUGGUUCUUAAAACAAAAAACAAUAUGCAACAAAAUAGUAUGAAACAUCGCGCUAAAACUGAGAUACUAACAAUGUUCUGACGGAUCGAAGCUGGUUUCACAGAAGGCAACUAUGUCCCUUGCAUAUAAGUCAAUGGAAGUCAGUUCUAUGUUAUAUGUAAGUCUGGGUGAUCACGAGCCGUGGGCGUAAGAACAGCGUAUGUUUUCGGCUAAAUAUAAACUACCUGUGAUAUGGACCAGGGUGUAAGUCUCCUCUCGAAUCACGUCCUGGUAAUCAGAUAAACCAAUGAUAUCUCAAAGCAAAAUCAAUGCUUCCCUGCUACAAAUGACACGAAUUUAGAAUACUUGCAUCGACGCUAACAUGCACAGAGGACGCACAUCGCCAUUCGUUUGGAACCUCUUUCGUUUUUGGCUCAAGUUGGACGUGAAAUAAACUUUUGGAAACAUUAGUUCAAUGUCCUACGGAGUCACGGAGAAUCUCGAAGUCGUUUGCAACAGCGUUAAAGAGGCACAACAGGGCAACAUGAAGUUCAUGACUUGAUUUUAUUGUGCUAUCUGUUGCUUUAUUUUACUUAUCCUGGACUAAUGAGGAACAUCCUGAAAAUGAUCUGUGGCGGAGGAAAAAACAAGUUCGAAACUUACAAGCGAGGGGAAGAUCAAAAUGACUUAGGGACAAAUAUUCACAAGGCGGUUUGAUUUUUAGAUCCCGGUGGAAUCACGUACAUCGCGGGGUUUAUCUUGAACGCCAAUAAACAGUGCUUUCUAAGCGAGUCAAAUGCAAACAGUGAUAUUAUUUACUGUACGGUGUUGCACAGAAUUAAACAAGGAAAAAGCAGAGGCAAUUUACUUCACCAUCUCUCACCACCCCCGUCCCGCCCAACUAUCACUGUUAAGAGUUUAAACUCUGCGAAUAGGUGUUCCGAGCGGACCCCCCGGCACAACGCUUGCAAAGGUUGAACAAUUCAUUAGCUGCAAUAUGUCACAUGCUCUGGAGCGCCAGCUUUCGGGUUGCAUUUGAAAUUAUAAAUCACACCAGACAGCAAUAGACCAGAAACCCGCCAGCGGGUGAAGGAACCAAUCAUCAACGCCAAAUUGAAGCGUCUUUAAUCUGCAAUUCAAGAAAGGUGGAACAAAGUUGCAUAAAAUAAUUAAUUCAGGAAAACAAUGAAAAGGUGGUAGAGGGGUGAGAAGAGGCACAUAUGAUUUGCAAACUGCCUGAGUAAUCACCAAUGCUCUCCCAUUAUCAGGUGUAUCGUGGUUUAAUAUUGCCCAGUCCUUCUGCUCUGGGGAUGGGAGGAUCGGUUAUGAUGGUGGGGUUGCGCAUGCGUUAGUAACACCCACGUGACGAUUAGGUGGCAAGGAGGGAGUCCUGGUUGGAACAGAAGACAAAGGGAAAGGUAAGGCAGGAAGAUAAACAUGCUGCCUUCUGAACCAAGCCUACCUUCCAGACUCCUGAUAAUAAUAUUAAUGUGCACACAAUGGCGCUAAUUUGUAUUCUGGCUGAGUGCCAUUAUUGAAUUGUCAGUCAAUUAAGGAUUAAUGGGAAAAUACAAGUCCAGGAGGUAAAAUUUGUUGGUGUUCAGGAUACAACAGAUAGGUCACUGCCACGGUUUAGGAAUAACAACUAGUUGAUUUAAAAAAAAAGUGACAUCUUAGACACAACUCCAGGAUUGUACACCUUGCCACUGUCAAUUAUAAAUGUGGUUUUCAUGGGUUCCUUAAUAUUAAGUGUAAUAUUAGCAAUAUUUCAAUAUUCUUUAUACUGGCAACUUUUGUAGUCCAUUGUCAGUUAUCAAUUCCAUUAGACUAUUAUAUAUUCCAAAUCUUAUAACUAUUUUCCUGUUUCUUGU